rnacentral:rRNA from 1 species
CUACGGGAGGCAGCAGUGGGGAAUAUUGGACAAUGGGCGAAAGCCUGAUCCAGCCAUGCCGCGUGUGUGAAGAAGGCCCUCGGGUUGUAAAGCACUUUCAGUGGGGAAGAAAGCCUCGGGAUUAAUACUCCGAGGAAGGAC